AUAAUUUUGAGUUUGAUCCUGGCUCAGAGUGAAUGCUCUUAACAUGCUUUACACAUGCGAGUUAAACGAAUGUUGUGUUCGCACAGCUUUAGUAACGAACGGGUGCGUAAUAAUGGAAUAUUUGAUGUGUUUGCUGGGGAUAGCUGAUAAGGGUUAUUAAUAACCCUGCUUCAUAACCCCCAAUAGUAUUUUUAUUAAUUAAAAAAAAUCAAGUUUUUAAGAGAUAUAAAAUAAAAAAUUUAUUGUGAACGCGUUUUUUCUAUCAAGAUCAGGUAGUUGGUGGGGUCAGCCCACCAAGCCUAAGACCUUUAGCUAGUUUGAAAAAAUGUAUAGCCACAUCGGGACUGUAACAAGGCCCGAAUUCCCUAGGGAGGCAGCAGUGGGGAAUACUGGACAAUGAGUUAACGCUUGAUCCGGCAAUGUUAAACGAACGAAGCGAAAGUAAUGAGCUGUAAAAUUCAAAAAAUUAUUUCAAAUAUAGUGAAUGAUUUAAUAAAGCCCCGACUAACUUCGUGCCAGCAGUCGCGGUAAUACGGGGGGGGCGAGUGUUACUCAUCAUGACUAGGCGUAAAGGGUGCUAAGACCGCUAAUGGUUGUCCUAAUUGAAAAUUUAAUUGAAAGAUUGAACUGUAUUAGUUAAACAAUUUAGCUCGGGUAGAUUGGAGAAUAGAAUUACUAGUUUUUGAGGGGUAGAAUCCAACGAGAAGAUUAGGAGGUACAAAGGCGAAAGCAACUAUUUAUGGUCAACCAACGUUAAUACACUAAAGCGUGGGGAGCAAACAGGAUUAGAUACCCUGGUAGUCCACGCCCUGACCUAUGAGUGUAAAAAUAUUUUUUCGCUUUAAAGCUCUGCUUUAAGCAUUUAAACACCUCUGUUGUUUGUUUUAUAAAAUUUAUUUUAGCUAACGCGAAAGCACUCCGCCUGGGGACUACGGCCGCAAGGUUGAAACUCAAAGGAAUUGACGGAGGAUCACACAAGCGGUGGAGCAUGUGGCUUAAUGCGUAAUAACGCGCAAAACCUUACCAGUUUUUGAAUGCUAAAUGAUUUACUAUAAAGUAGUAUAAAAGUUAUUUCUAUUAUUCUUUGAGUUAAAAAAAUAAUUUUUAGCACAGGAGCUGCAUGGCUGUCGUCAGUUCGUGCCGUGAGGUGUUAGGUUCAGUCCAUUAACGAACGCAACCCCAAUUUCUAGUUGUCUGGUCCUUAGCUUACUAGUUUAAGUGACUUACUAGGAAGACCGUCAUUGAAAAAUGAAGGAAGUAGGGAAGAUGUCAAGUCAGUAUGGCCUCAAUAAAUUGGGCUGCCGCACAUGCUACAAUGCUUAUUACAGCACGUUGCAAAAAUGUAAGUUCUAGCAAAUCGUUAAAAAUAAGCUUAGUUCAGAUUAUUCUCUGCAACUCGGGAAUAUGAAGGCGGAAUCGCUAGUAAUCGCGGAUCAGCACGCCGCGGUGAAUUGGAGUCUGAUCCUAGUACAUACCGCCCGUCACGCCACGAAAAUUUGUUUUGUUGGAAGUUUUUAGAAACUUAUCCUAUGAUAGAAAAAAUUUACUAAAUUUUUUUUUUGUUAUAGGGUGGGGAGUAUCUAGACAAUAACAAGGUAAGUAAUUAGGGUGAAGUCGUAACAGGGUAGUCGUAGGGGAACCUGUGGCUGGGUUAUUUAACCU
rnacentral:rRNA from 1 species